UUGAUAAAUUUAAUUAUUCAGGCGUGUGUUUCAGUUGAAGGGAGCAAGUGGUCUAGAGAUUGGUGCAAGCUUAGAGCCCUAGCAGACAAAGAACAAAGCCAUCGCAGAAGGCUAAGAAGAUAUAUCCUUAUUUAGAAUCUGUCCAUUGGCUUUCAAUUCAAGGUUAAAUGGCAACCAAGUACACCAGCUAAUACUGUCCACAAAACUUGUCGACAAAUCGAACCAGACACUGAAUAAGUAGAUUCACAACAUUCAUUCAUCAACCAAUUUCAAGCUUCUUAUAUCCCCGCACCUUGAGGGACUUUCAAGCUGCUGUUCAUCAAGACAUAUAUCCCGCUGCUCCUAGGACAGCUUGGUAAUAUGGUUACUGAAGAUCAUUUGCAGGCAAUACAUCGAUCGGCUGAGAAGUGAGGUCACUCAAGUAGUUUGUUGAAUGGUGUAAACGGGUAUGGGUGCAAUUACAUUUGUAGUGAUUCUUUUGAUUCUUGCAAAUUUUGGAGUAUUUGCCAUUGCUCGUGGCCUUUACACUUCCUCUGAUCAUCACACUGUUUCUUUCUGCAAAACUUCUUGUGAUAACACAUUGGAUGACAAAAGAGGGAUUCCAACCGGAUCAAAUCCUUUGCAUAACAGGUAGAGAAACGGGAACAACUUAUGUUCAAUGAUUCACUUUUUUCUUUUCUUUUCUUUUUCAAGUUCUUCUUGAUGUUUUUCAUUUUGAAAUAUGAAUAGAUUCUGCCUACAAAGAAGAUGGUCUGUGGAAAUAAAAAUGGAAACUGAAAACUGGGAAGAUGAUGAAUUUUUUGUUGUUGUUUUAAAAUUAAAUCAAAUUAGUCUAGAAUUAUUUAAUUACUAUUUUUAUUUUACAUUUUGGUAAUUGUAUUUUUC
rnacentral:lncRNA from 1 species